UACGUAGGGGGCAAGCGUUGUCCGGAAUUAUUGGGCGUAAAGAGCGCGUAGGCGGUCCGAUAAGUCGGCUGUGAAAGUCAAGGGCUCAACCCUUGAAAGCCGGCCGAUACUGUCGGACUAGAGUCCGGAAGAGGCGAGUGGAAUUCCCGGUGUAGCAGUGAAAUGCGUAGAUAUCAGGAGGAAUACCGAUGGCGAAGGCAGGUCUCUGGGCUGACACUGACGCUCAUGCACGAAAGCGUGGGGAGCAAACAGG
rnacentral:rRNA from 1 species